rnacentral:SRP_RNA from 1 species
UACCCGGGUGAGUCCUACACGACCAGCUCGCCUUGAAUCCCCCAGGUCUUGACCGAAGCAAGGGUAUUGGCUUGAGCGGUGCGAUGCAGAUAGCUCGCCCACC